UGACUAUAGGGACGCGUAAUGACGUUACGGAGCAGGAGCCGCAAGAUUGGGGCAAGAGAUGGCGUGGUAACCAAGGACAGCGCCAAAGGGAGACGGUAUGAAUGACAGAGUGAGGACAGUAGAUACAUCUACCACCAUUCUGACAGCAGACUUACGCAAGGCCUGCAUGAUUUCAAGGAAGAUGAGAUGGAGAGAUACAACAUGGAGAAACAUAAAGGUCUGUGUGUGUAUCCUGAAGAGGGAUUCAGUUGACUAUUGAAGGAGUAAAUAUUUCGGUCCUAUUCCAGCUCCUCCAUCUGAUGGCACAGACUGGAAAAGAGAAAAGCUACCACACCAUCGUCCUCGUGGUAAUCAAGCCAAGAUCAGUUCACGUGCUGAGGGUUGCAACUCCAACACCACUAACACUAAGAUUUCACUGUGAUCAGCUGACUGGAGAAAAAGAUGAAGGAAUCUACAAUGUCGUUGCAGGGACAAGCAAUCUUAGAAUACAAGCGCCUCAACAGAAAAUCACUGGUAAUUGAAGCUGGUAGAGUGCUGUGACAUCUCUCGUAAACAAGCUGGGUUAUAGACAAGGAUCACAUCAACCAAGUUCAAAUGUCUUGAACACGAUAGGGCCCCUUCCAUUCUGACUGGAAAAGACAUCUAUCAUCUAUUGUGUUGCUUGGUAGUAGUGUUCGGGGUCUUUUUGUCGAACAGGCACAUCUGCAUACCAGUAGUUAUGUGCAGACUUGGCUCUUUCUUUGGAGCAGUACAGUUGUAAGAUAAAUCCUGUUUGUAAUUUUAUAAAUUAGUUGCUCAUUAAGGGCUUAUGAAGGUUUUGAUGCCUUGCUGGCAUAUCUGCAUACCAGUAAAUAUGUGCAGAUUCAUUUCUUGCUUUGAAGCAAUAUUGUUGCUACACUCCUAAAGCGGUGGCAAUGUUCAGGUCUUUUCAGCCUCGCGGGCAAAUCUGCAUACCAGUAAUUAUGUGCAGACUUGGCUCUUCCUGAGAUUGUAGGACUGGGUCCAUUGAAUGGUUGCCCCAUUGAAUGUAACAAAAAUAAUCGAUGCCUAUUUACAAAUGAAAUGAAGAGUCUGCAAAUAUCUUAGUUGAGAGUGGGGGACAUCAGUAAAUGCUUCUCAUCGGGGUAAUACAGUACCACUGUAUACAAUGACCCCAUUUUUUGUUGGAUAACCAUUUUCGCUGAGGAGUGGUCGAUAAUGAGAAUUUCAGGCCAGUCUGAUUAUCACCAGUCCAGAGGGAAAAUACCUGAUAGUUAUGUGGCAUUCCUUCAAACUGUUUACUCUUUCGUGUCAUUUAUAAAUUUGUGUUGCUCGUUUUACCUCGCAUCUUGUGGGCAGAAAGAACAGUCUGGUGGAGUCCUGAUGCUCCCUGAUGUUGGUCUUUGACUGGAGAUCAUAAUCACUCUUGUCAGUUCCGUUUUUUCUUUUUACCACGAACAGGCCCACGUAGGCCUCCAACCUGUCAUUGUUUUAAAUUUCAAUUAAGAAUA